AUGCCUGUCUUAUUUAGUAUAUGUCAAGAUCAGGAUGAGACUAUUGCUGAGUUUGUGGCAAAAGACUAUAAACUGGGGUUCAGACGGAGACUGUUUGGAGAGGUUAAGGACCAGUGGGACUGGGUGGUCUCUGAGGCUAAAAAAUAUACCCUAAACACCUCCCCUGAUGUAGUUUCAUGGAGCCUUAAUAAGAAGAAGAGGUUCUCCACCAAAUCAGUUUAUGAGUGGCUGGAGAGGGAUUUGGCUGGUCCGAAUAACAAAUGGAUUUGGAAAUCUAGUAUUCCUUUAAAAAUUAAAAUUUUCUUGUGGCAGUUGUUUCAAAAUACUGUGCUUACACGGGAUAACUUGCGUAAAAGGGGCUGGCCUGGAAAUCCUGCUUGUUCCUUCUGCAAUAACAUGGAAGAUGCUAAUCAUCUGUUUUUUACAUGUUCACUUGCUCGAACAGUAUGGGGGGUCUUGGGUGUAACAAUUGGGGCUUCCUGUUGCCCUCGAUCACUGGCAAAGUUGGGCAUGGCUUUAUAA
rnacentral:rRNA from 1 species